UUUAUGGAGAGUUUGAUCCUGGCUCAGGAUGAACGCUGGCGGCGUGCCUAAUACAUGCAAGUCGAGCGAACGGACGAGAAGCUUGCUUCUCUGAUGUUAGCGGCGGACGGGUGAGUAACACGUGGAUAACCUACCUAUAAGACUGGGAUAACUUCGGGAAACCGGAGCUAAUACCGGAUAAUAUUUUAAACCGCAUGGUUCAAAAGUGAAAGACGGUCUUGCUGUCACUUAUAGAUGGAUCCGCGCUGCAUUAGCUAGUUGGUAAGGUAACGGCUUACCAAGGCAACGAUGCAUAGCCGACCUGAGAGGGUGAUCGGCCACACUGGAACUGAGACACGGUCCAGACUCCUACGGGAGGCAGCAGUAGGGAAUCUUCCGCAAUGGGCGAAAGCCUGACGGAGCAACGCCGCGUGAGUGAUGAAGGUCUUCGGAUCGUAAAACUCUGUUAUUAGGGAAGAACAUAUGUGUAAGUAACUGUGCACAUCUUGACGGUACCUAAUCAGAAAGCCACGGCUAACUACGUGCCAGCAGCCGCGGUAAUACGUAGGUGGCAAGCGUUAUCCGGAAUUA
rnacentral:rRNA from 1 species